ACGAACGCUGGCGGCGUGCUUAACACAUGCAAGUCGAACGGAAAGGCCCUGCUUUUGUGGGGUGCUCGAGUGGCGAACGGGUUAGUAACACGUUAGUAACCUGCCCUUUACUUUUGGAUAACUUCAGGAAACUGGGGCUAAUACCGGAUAGGAGCUCCUGCUGCAUGGUGGGGGUUGGAAAGUUUCGGCGGUUGGGGAUGGACUCGCGGCUUAUCAGCUUGUUGGUGGGGUAGUGGCUUACCAAGGCUUUGACGGGUAGCCGGCCUGAGAGGGUGACCGGCCACAUUGGGACUGAGAUACGGCCCAGACUCCUACGGGAGGCAGCAGUGGGGAAUAUUGCACAAUGGGCGGAAGCCUGAUGCAGCAACGCCGCGUGCGGGAUGACGGCCUUCGGGUUGUAAACCGCUUUCGCCUGUGACGAAGCGUGAGUGACGGUAAUGGGUAAAGAAGCACCGGCUAACUACGUG
rnacentral:rRNA from 1 species